CCCUUCGGCGGGAUUCCACCAAAUCUGUGUCAGAUCUAAGGGCGUGAAGUGCUCUACAAUGAAUUUUGGCCAAUCUGUAGCGGCAAUCGAUGACGAACAGUGGCAGCGCAUGGCGAUCUGGAGGAGGUGCAUGUGGAGGCACACGAACUUCUAGUGGUUGCGCGCAGUGAGUCCUAGGAACCCGGUUUGGAUAGGUGAGUUCAAAAAACCCUGAUGGUU
rnacentral:lncRNA from 1 species